AUACCACAUUACAUGCCACUUUGCCCGCGCCUGGCCUCCCCGUCUCCCGCCUCGGCGUACUUCCCGUCAUCAACCCUUACGGCAAAUGUGGAUCCCUCACCAUCUCCCGCCACGUGCCUUGGCAUCUUCGUCGUGGACCUCAUCUCCUUCAACGCCCUCCUCAUCGCUGGCGCAUGCCUUGGCACUUGCACUCCCGUCCGCCCGGCGGCUCUUCAACACCAGGCCCUGCCGGAACAUCAUCUCGUACAACGCCUUGGUCGUCCUCUUUGCCGCCACCGGGGAUUUCCCUCCGCUAGGCCGAUCAGAUGCCGGACUAGAUCGGACGCUUGAGGUGGUCGAGUGCUGCAAGGCCAGUGUCGUCUUUGCCGCUGGGAACUGUUCGACAAAAUGCCCGACAAGAGCCUGGUCCCGUGGACUGUUAUGAUCACUGGGUUCUCCCGGUGCGGGAAGCUUAACGAAGCACUUGCACGGUUCACGUCGUCUCUGCCUUAGCUCACUUAGGGAGCGUGGAUCUGGAUCUAGAGGAAUGAGCACGGCCUCACCAAUGCAUUGUCAUACACCAUUAAUAGGUUCCCGUCCUGAACGUGGCACAACAUCUUCUUUGACAGAUGCGAAAGGAGGUGAGCGACUUAGAUCCUUGGACGUUUGUCAGCUUGCCGAGUGCCUGUAACCAUGCAGGGUUCGCCACGAGGUUCGUGAAUAUGGUUUUGGAGAGGAGGACAAGUACUGUUCUUGCAUUGCAGACAUACUUGGACAGGCAUGGAAGCUUAAAGAAACACACGAGAUAAUUCAGAGCAUGUCAGUGGAGCCUUAUCAAGGACCUGCUUUUGGCAUUGCUUGGAGCUUGGAGGACUAGUGCCAACAUUGAGAUGGCAGAGAGGAGCUUUUAGGCUGGAAGAGAAGUAUAUGGGAAACUGCACACUCAAUAUAGUAUAUGUGUGGAAAGAGAACAAUGGUAAGACACUGUGAGAAUUAGAGUAAUAAUAAUAAUAAUGUAUUGAAAUUUCAAAAACUUAUAGGCUUUAGCUGGAUUGACAUGUAGUGGAGAGCCUGUAGAUUUCAGAAUUAAGUGCUGACAUGCAUCGACAGUAGGAUGGAUCUGUUUAUUGCCUUCUUUUCUGAUUAGUCCUAGAACGUGGUAAUGAUUGGUCUAUAAGGCGCAGAGCAUUGAUACUUUGGACUGCCAAUGCUUAGCUGUGGUUUCACAAAUGUGAUCUUAUUGUGGUUCUUUUAAUACAAUAAACAGCAACUAGUUGUGUGGAUUUUCAGGUGAGGAACCAUUUGUGACAUGGGAUUAUAUCAGAUCUAACCAGUCACUUGAAAUGUUAUGUGGCAAAAUGAGUUGAAGAUGAUAUUAUAGUCUCAGUGGAAUCAUUUUAUUAAUUUGAAAACAAAGGCCUUCUUUUUUGUAUAUAUUUUUGUAUCCGAAAAAAAUAUUGUUAAUUAUCUCAAAUUAUGAUGAUUGCAUACUAAAGCAAAUAAAGGAGGGCCAUAAGAAUUAUCUAAAUAUUGCUUGGAAUUGGCAUACAAGAACUUCUAAGGUUGAUCAUGGUACUAUGAGGAGGGCCAUAAGAAUUAUCUAAAUAUUGCUUGGAAUUGGCAUACAAGAACGUCUAAAGUUGAUCAUGGUACUAUGUAAAGUAAUAGAGUGCCUAAAACCGAAGCUCUGUUUUGCAACAUGAUUGUGAAGUUGACUUUUUUCAUCAGAACCGAAUGAGGUGUUGGUUGCAGAGACUAGAGAAGUACCACUUGAUCUUUAAAUUAUUUAUCCUGCUUCUUGAUCCAAUUCCAACAAGCUGGCAGCCAUUUGUUUAUUUCUUUGAGGAUGUGUGACCUGGGGAUCUUGAGUUAAGCCAAGUAAUUUCAUAUUGAGUGGUACAUGAGCAGUUGUCAGAGCAUCUCUCAAUGACCGCAAUUACACAGAGCCAUCAAAAUUGAUAUCAGACAAUCUAAGUGGGCAACUAAUGAAGAGCUGUUUUUGUGGGAGACACUAAGGCUGGUGCAAAAGUAUCAGAUAUUAGGGGAUGUUGCUGCACAAUGGACUUCAGUUGCUAUACAGUGGUAUCUGGGAUUGUUAGUUUUGCUUUAGUGCUACCUUUUCCAUGACAACAUUUUCUGCCUCCUAUGAACAUGACAUGAGCAAAGUCAAUCUGUAAGUGUUCUCCUUGAGCAUAAUUUAGAGUGUAGCCAACUGAUACGUAUACUUAAUUGAGAAUCUCAUCAAAUUGGUAGACCUUCCAUCUCUGGUUAGGCAAAAUCAUAAUCUUAUGUAAAUCAGUGUAUAUCAUGAUGUCUUCUAUAUUAAAAUUCAAAAUUCUAAUCACUCCAUCAAGGAAAAGAAAUGCAUAAUACAGUAAUAUUCUCAUGUGUGUGAUGCUACACCUUUUUUUAGCUUAGAUAAUCAACUGUCAUUUACUUUAAGGUCUGCCAAUAAAGAAAGAGUGUCACAGAACUAGCAAAAUAAUUCCUAUCACAGAUCUUUAAAAAGGUGUCUCCUUGUUAUUAAGCAUUUCAUGUUCUGAAUUGCUUUAUGUGAUCUUUGAAUUUCAUCUCCCUCAUGGCAUCUCUAGUGAUGGAGUAGACUGUAAUAUGUGGACUGAGAAAUGCCUAAAUCAGAGUGUUCAUUUUAGUUAUGAGGUGAUACAACAACUGACUGAGACUGGGUUUCAAUGUAAGCUUUGUGCUAAUAAGAAAUUUUGGUGAAUCUGGUGCAUCAUAAUCUUAGUCUAGACAUAGACUGAGAUGUGGAUUAUACUAUUUAUUUGUUAUUUAUUGGACUGUCAUUUCCUAUGCUCUCAAAAAAAAUUCUAAAUAUUAAAAUUGGUAAAACAAGUGACUUUUUGAUGUUUUUCAAAGAUUUAUAAUCUGGUUCAACUUGCUCUUGCAAAUACAGAUAGAAGCAGAUAUUAGAAGUGCCUGAUAUCCAUUCCUCAACAGUGAUGUUCCAUUUAGGCAUAUAUAUGUCUUGUAACCAAAGUCUGUUUAUUGUCAACCAAAACAAAAAAUUCUAAUGAUUAUACUAUGGCAAUGAUUAUCACUUGCUCUAGCAUAGGAAUAUGGCCAUGGUUGACAAAACAGAGGGUUUAGAGAAAUCAUGAGCGAAGGUCCCAAUUUUUGAAUAAGGACAAAGAUAUCAAAUAUUAUCAGAGUUCCAGAGCUGACCGGUGGAGUUUAAGAUACAGGAUUGUUAUGUAUGGCAGGACACCGGUGGAGUUCAAUAAUAGGUUAAUCUUCUUGUCUGCUUUAGUUAGCUUAAAUUCUGGAAACAUCUGGAUCACAAUCUUCCAAAGUUCUGAUGGUAACUUGCUGGAUGUAGACCUUUUUCAGCCAUUAAAUGGCCAUCGCUGGCAACAACUUGCUUGUUGGUGGUUACCUGGAGUUUCCAAAGUCCUCUUGUGCAUAAAAUAACUGCCAUGGCAAUAUCGAAACAAGGAAAAUAUCAUGUCGGCUAAUGAGAUGGAAGUUUUUGUUGUCAAGGAAAAUGCUGGAUUCAUAUGGGUUAAAGUUACAGUCCCAAAGUAUUGGAAACAUUAUUCUAUAAGUUAUUCAACUCAACAGCAUCAGAAACAUGAGGUUAAGCCCUUAACCUGCAGCUAUAAGGUUACCUUCAUCAUCACAAAAGAAGAGGUAUUUGAUUAGAUUUUUAACUCUGCUGUUCACUGAAUUGUUCUAUAUAUUCAGAUUUUACCUUGGUGAAAAUUUUCAUGUAAUUUGAUUAUAGCCCUUUACUGUGAAUUUAAAAUUAGAUCAUUGAAUCAGAUAUCAGUUUCCACUAUGAGAAAGGACCUUUAUAAUUUUCAUUGACCACCAGAUCUCAUUACUAAAAAUUUUUGAGUUUAUAUUUUCCAUUUCUUAGGUGCAAAAUUAUCAAGAUGAGACAUUGCUCGUUUUUGAGCUAGUGGUUUCUGGAUAAAGGGCCAGAGACGCCAUAAUUUGGUCCAUGCAGAACCACAGUUCCACCUGUUAUGCAACUUCACUCCAAAGCAGCGGAAUCCAAGUUAGUGCCAGGUACUUCAUCAGGAUAAUGCACAAAGCCAGUACUCCUGUACUAGCACAUGCACUUUGUUGUCUGGAACUACCAAACCACGGAUUCGAUAAGAUGUUAUUGUCAACAAAACAACUUGAAACCCCUAGUUUCUGCUACCUGUGUUCCAGCUAAUUCAUCUGCCUCAAUAAGUCAAUUCACUUGGCACAUAUUAUGGAACUACAGGCUAGUCUUCUUCUUUGCUUUCGUUAGCAUGGGUUCUGUAACCAGUCGGUCCCCCGUAUAGAAGAAACCAUCACAAUCUUCCAAAGUUCCAAUUGGUACCUUGCAGGGUGUAGCCAUUGCCAGCCAUCAAAUGGCCAUGGCUGGCAACAACUUGCUUGUUGGUGGUUGGCCUGGAACAUCCAGGAGUACACCUGUGCAUAUAACAACUGCCCUAGCAAGACUCUGAAGGGAUCAAGUCAGUGAUGAGAUGAAAGUUCAUUUUAUCAAGUUGCUGGAUUUAGCUGGGUAAAAGUUACAGUCUCAAAGUAUCGGACAUCAGAACCAUGAGGAUGACCAACUCUCUUGCACUACUAUUUUCUGAUGGCAAGGAAAAUAUUUUAUUUAUGAUAUGAAGGCUCGGAGGCAAAAGGAUGAACCGACUGUUUAUAUUCCGUACAGACAAAUGUUAUACAAGACUCGAAGCAUUACUUACAGAGCAAACAACACAAAGGUGGUAGCAGUAGUAGGAAGAAGAAGAAGAAAAAGAACAGAGCCCCCAUCUCCCCUACUUCGUUACAUUUUGUCUCCUACCACCAUUUCAUUGACUCAGGAAGACAGCAGAUCUGAUGCAAUCUUCCAUCUCAAGUAGCAGCCUUUCCGUCGACAUCUUGAUCGAGUUUGUACUGGAGUUUGCCCAGUUGACUCAAGUUAGUGAUUUGCAUAGGAAUUGCCGUUAAUGAUGAAGGCACAGAAGAAAGCUUACCUGAGGGGAAAAAGAGAGGGGAGUGCAGUCGGGAGGGAACUCGAAGAGGGAGAGGGGGAGGCGCUUGUCGACAACGCCGACGUCGAAGUGGAUGAUGCCGGAGGCGUUGUCGUCGAGGCGGAUGGCGAGGACGGGGAACCAGAGGAAGA